rnacentral:rRNA from 1 species
AACGAACGCUGGCGGCAGGCCUAACACAUGCAAGUCGAGCGAGGACUUCGGUCCUAGCGGCGGACGGGUGAGUAACGCGUGGGAACGUGCCCUUUGCUUCGGAAUAGCCCUGGGAAACUGGGAGUAAUACUGGAUGAGCCCUUUGGGGGAAAGAUUUAUCGGCGAAGGAUCGGCCCGCGUUGGAUUAGGUAGUUGGUGGGGUAAUGGCCUACCAAGCCGACGAUCCAUAGCUGGUUUGAGAGGAUGAUCAGCCACACUGGGACUGGGACACGGCCCAGACCUCCCGGGAAGGGAGAAGGGGGGAAUGAUAAAAAAGGGGGGAACCCCGAACGUCGCCGGGCCGGGAAAGCGAGUAAGGCGUUAGGUUUAAAAGUGUCUGUCACUGGGAAAGAUUAGAAGGGAACCAAUAAAAAAAGCCCCGGUAACCCCGGG